UCCUGGUGGCUUAGACGGUAAAGCGUCUGCCUGCAAUGCGGGAGACCCGGGUUCGAUUCCUGGGUCGGGAA
rnacentral:tRNA from 1 species